UACGUAGGUGACAAGCGUUGUCCGGAUUUACUGGGCGUAAAGAGCGCGCAGGCGGUCGUUCAAGUCGAGUGUGAAAGCCCCCGGCUCAACUGGGGAGGGUCAUUCGAUACUGAUCGACUCGAAGGCAGGAGAGGGUAGUGGAAUUCCCGGUGUAGUGGUGAAAUGCGCAGAUAUCAGGAGGAACACCAAUGGCGAAGGCAGCUCGCUGGGACGGUACUGACGCUGAGACGCGAAAGCGUGGGGAGCAAACAGG
rnacentral:rRNA from 1 species